GUGUCAGCAGCCGCGGUAAUACGUAGGUGGCAAGCGUUAUCCGGAUUUAUUGGGCGUAAAGCGUCCGCAGCCGGUUUAUUAAGUGUAGAAUUAAAGCCCGAGGCUCAACCUCGGAUCGUUCUACAAACUGAUAGGCUAGAGUGUGGUAGAGGCAAGUGGAAUUUCUAGUGUAGCGGUAGAAUGCGUAGAUAUUAGAAGGAACACCGGUGGCGAAGGCGACUUGCUAGGCCACCACUGACGGUCAGGGACGAAAGCGUGGGGAGCAAAUAGGAUUAGAUACCCUAGUAGUCCACGCUGUAAACGAUGAGUACUAAGUGUCGGGUAACCGGUGCUGAAGUUAACACAUUAAGUACUCCGCCUGAGUAGUACGUUCGCAAGAAUGAAACUUAAAUGAAUUGACGG
rnacentral:rRNA from 1 species